rnacentral:ncRNA from 1 species
ACGGGAUAACCGCUGAAGGCAUCUAAGCGGGAAACCCCCCUGAAAACGAGUAUUCCCUAUCAGAGCCGUGGAAGACGACCACGUUGAUAGGCCGGGUGUGGAAGUGCAGCAAUGCAUGAAGCUUACCGGUACUAAUAGCUCGAUCGAACUUCUUCG